UAAGUACUACCUCCGUUUCCAUAAUUCUUGUCUCAAAUUUGUCCAAAAGUGGAUGUAUUUAUUCCUAAAAAGCGUCUAGAUACAUGUAAUAUUUCGACAAGAAUUAUGGAACGGAGGAAGUAGCAU
rfam:Brachypodium distachyon strain Bd21 chromosome 3, whole genome shotgun sequence.